GAGCCCAAACCAACAAGCUUGCUUGUUGGGGUUGUAGGACACUCUAUACGGAGUUACAAAAGAACAUGUUAGACGAAUCAUCUGGAAAGAUGAAUCAAAGAAGGUAAUAAUCCUGUAGUCGAAAACAUAUUCUCUCUUGAGUGGAUCCUGAGUACGACGGAGCACGUGAAAUUCCGUCGGAAUCUGGGAGGACCAUCUCCUAAGGCUAAAUACUCUCUAGUGACCGAUAGUGAACCAGUACCGUGAGGGAAAGGUGAAAAGUACCCCGGAAGGGGAGUGAAAGAGAACUUGAAACCGUGUGCU
rnacentral:rRNA from 1 species